rnacentral:rRNA from 1 species
UUUCCGUAGGGUAACCUGCGGAAGGAUCAUUACCUAGAGUUUGUGGGCUUUGCCCGCUACCUCUUACCCAUGUCUUUUGAGUACUUACGUUUCCUCGGCGGGUCCGCCCGCCGAUUGGACAAAAUCAAACCCUUUGCAGUUGCAAUCAGCGUCUGAAAAACAUAAUAGUUACAACUUUCAACAACGGAUCUCUUGGUUCUGGCAUCGAUGAAGAACGCAGCGAAAUGCGAUAAGUAGUGUGAAUUGCAGAAUUCAGUGAAUCAUCGAAUCUUUGAACGCACAUUGCGCCCCUUGGUAUUCCAUGGGGCAUGCCUGUUCGAGCGUCAUUUGUACCUUCAAGCUUUGCUUGGUGUUGGGUGUUUGUCUCGCCUCUGCGUGUAGACUCGCCUUAAAACAAUUGGCAGCCGGCGUAUUGAUUUCGGAGCGCAGUACAUCUCGCGCUUUGCACUCAUAACGACGACGUCCAAAAGUACAUUUUUACACUCUUGACCUCGGAUCAGGUAGGGAUACCCGCUGAACUUAAGCAUAUCAAUAAGCCGGAGG